rnacentral:rRNA from 1 species
AAAAAAAAAAAAAAUGUGCUUAACACAUGCAAGUCGAGCGGACAGAUGGGAGCUUGCUCCCUGAUGUUAGCGGCGGACGGGUGAGUAACACGUGGGUAACCUGCCUGUAAGACUGGGAUAACUCCGGGAAACCGGGGCUAAUACCGGAUGGUUGUUUGAACCGCAUGGUUCAAACAUAAAAGGUGGCUUCGGCUACCACUUACAGAUGGACCCGCGGCGCAUUAGCUAGUUGGUGAGGUAACGGCUCACCAAGGCAACGAUGCGUAGCCGACCUGAGAGGGUGAUCGGCCACACUGGGACUGAGACACGGCCCAGACUCCUACGGGAGGCAGCAGUAGGGAAUCUUCCGCAAUGGACGAAAGUCUGACGGAGCAACGCCGCGUGAGUGAUGAAGGUUUUCGGAUCGUAAAGCUCUGUUGUUAGGGAAGAACAAGUACCGUCGAAUAGGGCGUACCUGAUCGUCCAAACAGG